GAGGGUAUAGCUCAGUGGUAGAGUGCAUGCUUAGCAUGCAUGAAGUCCUGGGUUCAAUCCCCAGUCCCUCCA
rnacentral:tRNA from 1 species